UGCAAGUCGUACGAAGGUUUUUAACUUUAGUGGCGGACGGGUGAGUAACACGUGAGAAUCUGCCCUUAGGAAGAGAAUAACAAUUGGAAACGGUUGCUAAUACUCUAUAUGCCGUGAGGUGAAAGGAUCUAUCCACCUUAGGAAGAGCUCGCGUCUGAUUAGCUAGUUGGUAAGGUAAUGGCUUACCAAGGCGACGAUCAGUAGCUGGUUUGAGAGGACGACCAGCCACACUGGGACUGAGACACGGCCCAGACUCCUACGGGAGGCAGCAGUGGGGAAUUUUCCGCAAUGGGCGAAAGCCUGACGGAGCAAUGCCGCGUGAGGGAUGACGGCCUGUGGGUUGUAAACCUCUUUUCUCAAGGAAGAAGCUAUGACGGUACUUGAGGAAUAAGCAUCGGCUAACUCUGUGCCAGCAGCCGCGGUAAUACAGAGGAUGCAAGCGUUAUCCGGAAUCACUGGGCAUAAAGCGUCUGUAGGUUGCUUGCCAAGUCUGCUGUUAAAGACUAGGGCCUAACCCUGGGAAAGCAGUGGAAACUAGUAGGCUUGAGUGUGGUAGAGGUAGAGGGAAUUCCUGGUGUAGCGGUGAAAUGCGUAGAUAUUAGGAAGAACACCAAUGGCGAAAGCACUCUGCUGGGCCAUAACUGACACUGAGAGACGACAGCUAGGGGAGCAAAUGGGAUUAGAUACCCCAGUAGUCCUA
rnacentral:rRNA from 1 species